rnacentral:rRNA from 1 species
CUGCAACUCGCCUGCAUGAAGUCGGAAUUGCUAGUAAUCGCGGAUCAGCAUGCCGCGGUGAAUACGUUCCCGGGCCUUGUACACACCGCCCGUCACACCAUGAGAGCCGGUAACACCCGAAGUCAAUAGUCUAACCGCAAGGAGGACAUUGCCGAAGGUGGGAUUGGUAAUUGGGGUGAAGUCGUAACAAGGUACC